CCAAUAGCGUAUAUUAAAGUUGUUGCAGUUAAAAAGCUCGUAGUUGAAUUUCGAGAUCAAAUUGUUGGUCGUGCCUUGGUACGCACUGGCAUUAUUGGUUUCUCCCUUCUGAAGAACCAUGAUGUCAUUAAUUUGGUGUCUUGGGGAAUCAGGACUGUUACUUUGAAAAAAUUAGAGUGUUUAAAGCAGGCUCGCGCUUGAAUACAUUAGCAUGGAAUAA
rnacentral:rRNA from 1 species